GUGGGGAAUCUUGCGCAAUGGGGGAAACCCUGACGCAGCGACGCCGCGUGGGUGAUGAAGGCCUUCGGGUCGUAAAGCCCUGUCGAGCGGGACGAAACGUGCGAGCUCUAACAUAGCUCGUGCCUGACGGUACCGCGAGAGGAAGCCCCGGCCAACUCCGUGCCAGCAGCCGCGGUAAUACGGAGGGGGCAAGCGUUAUUCGGAAUCAUUGGGCGUAAAGGGCGUGUAGGCGGCUCCGUAUGUCCCAUGUGAAAGCCCUCGGCUCAACCGAGGAACGGCAUGGGAAACUGCAGAGCUUGAGUCCGGGAGAGGAGAGCGGAAUUCCCAGUGUAGCGGUGAAAUGCGUAGAUAUUGGGAGGAACACCAGUGGCGAAGGCGGUUCUCUGGACCGGUACUGACGCUGAAACGCGAAAGCCAGGGGAGCAAACGGGAUUAGAUACCCUGGUAGUCC
rnacentral:rRNA from 1 species